rnacentral:tRNA from 1 species
GGUCGUCUAGCUCAUCAGGUCAGAGCAUCCGCCUGAUACGCGGAAGGCGCGAGGUUCAAGUCCUCGGGCGACCACCU